GCCCUUGAGUUUGAUCCUGGCUCAGGACGAACGCUGGCGGCGUGCUUAACACAUGCAAGUCGAACGAGGUCCAUCCGAUCUUCGGAUUGGUGAAGACCUAGUGGCGAACGGGUGCGUAACACGUGAGAAACCUGCCCCGGUCUCUGGGAUAACAGUUGGAAACGACUGCUAAUACCGGAUGCCGUCGGACCGUCGCAUGGCGGACCGACGAAAGGGUUACCGGAUCGGGAGGGUCUCGCGGCCUAUCAGCUUGUUGGUGAGGUAACGGCUCACCAAGGCAUCGACGGGUAGCUGGUCUGAGAGGAUGAUCAGCCACACUGGGACUGAGACACGGCCCAGACUCCUACGGGAGGCAGCAGUGGGGAAUAUUGCACAGUGGGCGAAAGCCUGAUGCAGCAACGCCGCGUGCGGGAUGAAGGCCCUAGGGUUGUAAACCGCUUUCAGCAGGGAAGAAAAUGACGGUACCCGUAGAAGAAGGUGCGGCCAACUACGUGCCAGCAGCCGCGGUGACACGUAGGCACCAAGCGUUGUCCGGAUUUAUUGGGCGUAAAGAGCUCGUAGGCGGUUCAGUAAGUCGGGUGUGAAAACUCUGGGCUCAACCCAGAGACGCCACCCGAUACUGCUGUGACUAGAGUGCGGUAGGGGAGCGGGGAAUUCCUAGUGUAGCGGUGAAAUGCGCAGAUAUUAGGAGGAACACCAGUGGCGAAGGCGCCGCUCUGGGCCGUAACUGACGCUGAGGAGCGAAAGCGUGGGUAGCAAACAGGAUUAGAUACCCUGGUAGUCCACGCCGUAAACGUUGGGCACUAGGUGUGGGUCUCAACCAACGAGAUCCGCGCCGUCGCUAACGCAUUAAGUGCCCCGCCUGGGGAGUACGGUCGCAAGGCUAAAACUCAAAGGAAUUGACAGGGGCCCGCACAAGCAGCGGAGCGUGUUGCUUAAUUCGAUGCAACGCGAGAACCUUACCUGGGUUUGACAUGUAGGGAAAAGCUCUAGAGAUAGGUGUCCUUCGGGGCCUUACCACAGGUGGUGCAUGGC
rnacentral:rRNA from 1 species